UACCGCUGCCCACAUGGGCGUUUCCUCCCUUGACUUGGCUGCCUGUCUAAGACCGGCAGCCCUUUAUUAGUCUGAG
rnacentral:sRNA from 1 species